UACGGGGGGUGCGAGCGUUGUCCGGAAUCACUGGGCGUAAAGGGCGCGUAGGUGGCUUUGUAAGUUUGUGGUGAAAGCCCGGGGCUCAACCCCGGGUCUGCCGUGGAUACUGCAAGGCUUGAGUACUGUAGAGGCAGGUAGAAUAUCGGGUGUAGCGGUGGAAUGCGUAGAGAUCCGAUAGAAGACCGGUGGCGAAGGCGGCCUGCUGGGCAGUAACUGACACUGAGGCGCGACAGCGUGGGGAGCAAACAGG
rnacentral:rRNA from 1 species